rnacentral:rRNA from 1 species
CGCUUGAGCUAACUAACACGAGCGUGGCUUCUGUGACAAAAGGUAAUGAGUGUUAGUUAGGGGUGACAGGCCUCUCAAAUUCGGUGAUAACUUGAUUCCUUCGAAAAGUUAAGUACGAUUACAGAUCAGAAGUGAUAAGAUUUUUGAUAGCCAUUAAUUUUGAUAAAUGUGGCGUGUAGGUUUAAUCAUCAGUGUGUAUAAUAUGUAUGUUGGUAGUUUAUGGUUUCUAGGGGAAAGUAAAUAACGUUAAACUCUAUUUAUAAUGUUGAUUUUUAGUUUCAGAUACUAUUAGUGAUUUCGGCAAAAGGGCUUUCAACUGUUUACCAAAAACAUAGCUAUGUGGUAUUACUCAUAGUAUUUUCUGCUCAAUGAGUUUUUAAAUAGCCGCAGUACCCUGACUGUGCAAAGGUAGCGUAAUCAGUUGUCUUCUAAUUAAAGUCUCGUAUGAAAGAAUAUAUGGGGGCCCACUUUACCAGUGGUAGAAAAAGAAAUUAUUAAGUGAGUGCAAAUGCUCACGUUACUUAAAAGACGAGAAGACCCUAGAAAUUUUUACUUUUUGUUGGGGCAACAUAGUACCAAGUAAUUUACUAUAUGUAUAUGAAAUAGGUUAGGAAGCGUAAAUUACUCUAGGGAUAACAGCAUAAUUUAAAAGUUUGUGACCUCGAUGUUGGAUUAGGAAGCUAUAACUAAAA